UAAUACGGAGGGUGCAAGCGUUAUCCGGAAUCAUUGGGUUUAAAGGGUCCGCAGGCGGACAAGCAAGUCAGUGGUGAAAUCCCAUCGCUUAACGAUGGAACUGCCAUUGAAACUGUUUGUCUUGAAUUCGGUCGAAGUGGGCGGAAUGUGUCAUGUAGCGGUGAAAUGCAUAGAUAUGACACAGAACACCGAUAGCGAAGGCAGCUCACUAGGUCUGAAUUGACGCUCAGGGACGAAAGCGUGGGGAGCGAACAGGAUUAGAUACCCUGGUAGUCCACGCCGUAAACUAUGAUUACUCGUUUUCGGCGAUAUACAGUCGGAGACUAAGCGAAAGUGAUAAGUAAUCCACCUGGGGAGUACGAUCGCAAGGUUG
rnacentral:rRNA from 1 species